rnacentral:sRNA from 1 species
ACCAGCCACGAUACACCAAAGCUCCUUCUUCAGUAUUCUCAGUUGUCUGCAUAGUAGAUAAUGUACAGUCUUACCAGACCAUAGAAAAUGACUAUCAACAAA